GAAAAGGAGCAAUGGUUUGAGGGAGGCUCAUUCGUCAAUUUGAGGUCGAGGAGUAGACUUGGGAAUUGAAAAGCUUGGUGCAGUUUAAGAUAAUCAGGGGGGCGACUAAGUCUUGUGACAGAGAAUACACCAUGAUCUCGAUUU